AUCAUUACCAGGAUAGGAUAAUAUGACUGUCUGAUGGCCAGAGAACAUGUGAAAGACGAGAGAACUGCCACUGCACCGAUCAGCGAUUGCAGUCCGUACCUGCUCACAACAGCGAAUUCCCCAAAUGUGGGAAUCUCGACUGCAUAAUUUAUGGUAGUGGGGGACUGCGUUUGUGCUCUCCCCUG
rnacentral:snRNA from 1 species